UAAGGAAAAUUGGUCAAUGGACGCAAGUCUGAACCAGCCAUGCCGCGUGAAGGAUUAAGGCCCUCUGGGUUGUAAACUUCUUUUAUAGGGGAAGAAAUGUGACGGUUCUCCGUCACUUGACGGUACCCUGGGAAUAAGCACCGGCUAACUACGUGCCAGCAGCCGCGGUAAUACGUAGGGUGCAAGCGUUAAUCGGAAUUACUGGGCGUAAAGCGUGCGCAGGCGGUUUUGUAAGACGGAUGUGAAAUCCCCGGGCUUAACCUGGGAACUGCAUUCGUGACUGCAAUGCUAGAGUAUGGCAGAGGGGGGUAGAAUUCCACGUGUAGCAGUGAAAUGCGUAGAGAUGUGGAGGAAUACCGAUGGCGAAGGCAGCCCCCUGGGCCAAUACUGACGCUCAUGCACGAAAGCGUGGGGAGCAAACA
rnacentral:rRNA from 1 species